UACAGAGGGGGCAAGCGUUGUUCGGAAUUACUGGGCGUAAAGGGCGCGUAGGCGGCCCGCUAAGUCGAACGUGAAAUCCCCGGGCUCAACCCGGGAACUGCGUCCGAUACUGGUGGGCUUGAGUUCGGGAGAGGGAUGCGGAAUUCCAGGUGUAGCGGUGAAAUGCGUAGAUAUCUGGAGGAACACCGGUGGCGAAGGCGGCAUCCUGGACCGAUACUGACGCUGAGGAGCGAAAGCCAGGGGAGCAAACGGG
rnacentral:rRNA from 1 species